rnacentral:snoRNA from 1 species
UGGGAAGUGAUGAUCUGACCCCUGACCCCUGACAUCCCGCUGAUGCCUCUGGUAUUCGUACUGGCUGAUCCCC